UACAGGGAUUUUCUGGCUCUAGGGGAGGGGGGGAUGGACUUCAAGACCCAAGGCUGAGCUGUUAGCACGCAGGAGUUCUAGCUCUCAGGUAAGUACAGAAUUCAAUACAUAAGUGGGUAUCCACAAGGCUGGGCUAUUAGUGUGCUGGGGUUCUAGCUCUCAGGUAAGCACAAAGUUCAAUACACAGGUGAGUAUUCACAGGGCUGGGCUGUUAGCGUGCAGGGGUUCUAGCUCUCAGGUAAGCACAAAGUUCAAUACACAGGUGAGUAUUCACAGGGCUGGGCUGUUAGCGUGCAGGGGUUCUAGCUCUCAGGUAAGCACAAAGUUCAAUACACAGGUGAGUAUUCACAGGGCUGGGCUGUUAGCGUGCAGGGGUUCUAGCUCUCAGGUAAGCACAAAGUUCAAUACACAGGUGAGUAUUCACAGGGCUGGGCUGUUAGCGUGCAGGGGUUCUAGCUCUCAGGUAAGCACAAAGUUCAAUACACAGGUGAGUAUUCACAGGGCUGGGCUGUUAGCGUGCUACUCACCACUGAAGAUAUUCAGAGGUCGGUGUUCCCAGCGGAUACGGGUUUUGGUCGAUGACUGACGGCUGGUGGGCCUUACAGGUGAAACUGCGAACAACACUGGGCUUCCCACCCAGCUUGGCAAGGGGACACACGGGGGAGGAUCGGCUGCUGUCCUUCGCUUCCCUCGUCGAAGAGACAGCACAGACGACACGCACAAGGCCGGUGGUUGCUAACAAGGCCAAUGACACAACGUCACGUGGAUGAAAAGGUAAGGCUUUGAUUUGAAAGCUUACAGAGAUCGCUGUGUGGGCGACGUCAUCCAACCUCCUCCAGAGGCGCCUCCAACACGUCCAAGCUCCAGCUUACUUAAAGGAAAG
ensembl:lncRNA